GCAAGGUGAAGGUGUUUAAACUGUUUAAGCUGUUGGACAAGUGGCACGAAGACACAAUUGGCAACAAUGGGAAAUUUCUACAGCUAUGUCUACAGCUAUUUCUAUGGCGAGCAAAGUCAAUCAACAGAAGUGACAAAUUUGCAGGAGCAGCCUGCAGAGAGUCCAUCCGAAAACUUAUCUGCAAGUUCUGCAAAUGGGUGCAUUCAGAGUGAAAACAUCUCUGCAGACACACCCUUCUUUCAUAACCACAUUGACGAUGUGGACAAGAGGAACAUUUUUGUGGUCAGUGGUGGAAAAUCUGAAGAAUUUACUGUAUUCCCUGCAGAGAAGAUCUCAGUCUUACUUGAGGAGGCAUGCGCCUGGGCCGGAAAAAAGCCAGAGAAAAUGAAUCUGUUUUUUAAAGGUAAACAAAUAAAAUAUAAGGACCUUUACAUAUCAAUAAAUUCACCAGUUAAGCAGUGCACUACUGUCUAAUGUUAAAUAUUGUCCCUGUUGAACAAAAGAUGUAUCUUCAAAAUGGCAACUAAUGCUAAGAUUGUUUUUGGAACUGAGCCUGGAGGAAGGAAAAAAAUAUCUAGAUUUUAAAAUUGAAGUCAUUGUAAUUUUAGAGCAUUUCUAUUGGAUUGUUUACAUGAAGUUUGACAUGAUAUAGAUUCACAUUUUGUUUAAAAAAAAAAAUAGAUGUUAAGCACAGAUAAACUAUCAUGCAAAAAUCCUGAUACAGUCUGAUACACUUUUGUUAUAAUUAUAUUAUAACAUUUAUUGUUGUUUACCUGCAGGGGAACAGCUGGAUGUGAUGAAAGCCGUGGGUGAGUGUCCCGGCCUACGAAGAGGAAGCAAAGUGCACCUAAUUUUUGCUUCCUAAAGAACUUCACACUUUGUUUUUUUAAUGUACUGAAGUAAAGUGAAGUGCUCUUCAUAGUGGGACAGAAUGCACAGGAGCCUCUCACCCGUGCAAGUCAGCCUUCAGACUCAAUAAUAAGCCCAGUAUGGUGCACAUGUGUACAUUACGCAAUGCUGCUUGUGCUUUAUGUGCUGUCUGUAUUAAAUACCUCUGCUGAUUGGCAGUUGGCAGUUAGAAAUAGAGAAUAUAGGUGAAGUAAUAGAGAGUGAAGGGCAGCACAUAGCAAAUCUCUUAUAAUUAUAAUUUUUAAUUUAGUGAUCAAUCAGAUAUCUGGUUUUCUAGCUAGGUGGGAGUACAUUGUUGACUGACAGGUGGGCAGGAGGCAGUAAAGCUGCUGCGCUCCACUUUAGAGCUCUCAGGGCUUUGGCCUGCACUUGGAUAGCUACUCACUGUCCACUGUCCUUUCUCUCUGUGCUAGCUUCGAUGGGAUCUCUUGAAAUGAGAACUGAGAAAUGUUAUUGUCAUAGUUGUAUGUACAUUACAUUUUAAAUAAUGUUUUAUAAUAAACUUG
rnacentral:lncRNA from 1 species